rnacentral:misc_RNA from 1 species
AACGCACAUUGCGCCCGCUGGUAUUCCGGCGGGCAUGCCCGUUCGAGCGUCAUUUUAAUUCCUUCCCAGGAGGGAGCUUCUGUUUCUACAGAGGGUUUCCGCCAGGGGUGUUGGCACCUGUCGCCGCCUAGGCGACCAGAGCCCAAAUACAGUGGCGGACGCGCAAGCGGCCCCUAGCGUAGUAGAAAACAACUUCGCUCAGGAGGCUCGUAGCAGCGGACCACAGCCUAACGCAAAGCUUUUUUUGCAACCAAAACUUGACCUCGGAUCGGGUAGGACUACCCGCUGAACUUAA